rnacentral:rRNA from 1 species
UAGGGAAUCUUCCACAAUGGACGAAAGUCUGAUGGAGCAACGCCGCGUGAGUGAAGAAGGUUUUCGGCUCGUAAAGCUCUGUUGGUAGUGAAGAAAGAUAGAGGUAGUAACUGGCCUUUAUUUGACGGUAAUUACUUAGAAAGUCACGGCUAACUACGUGCC